AGUACUGGAUUUCUUGUCUGGCUUUACUUGACACACAUUGCCAUUUCCUUUUCUCGGAAUCUCAUGCAGGUGAUUUUUCCUCCUGAGGUCUCAAUACAGGUUCAUUUCCACUGUCUAUAACAUCUUUCUUCCUUCCUUCCUUCCUUCCUUCCUUCCUUCCUUUCUACUGGGGAUUAAUCCCAGGGGCUCUUAACCACUAUGCCACAUCUCCAGCCCUUUUUA
rnacentral:lncRNA from 1 species